rnacentral:rRNA from 1 species
UUAAAUUAGUAAGAGCGUACGGUGGAUGUCUUGGCAUAUAGAGCAGAAGAAGGACGCAGAUAACGGCGAAACGCCUCGGGGAGUCGUACACAGGCAACGAUCCGGGGGUAUCCGAAUGGGGAAACCCGAUAAAGUUGAAAAGCUUUAUCAUCCUUAAGCCAAUACAUAACUUAAGAGAAGGCAACCCAGGGAAUUGAAACAUCUUAGUACCUGGAGGAGAAGAAAAUAACAAUGAUUCCGAGAGUAGUGGCGAGCGAAAUCGGAGCAGCCCAAACCAGCAACGAGCUGGGGUAGUAGGACCACGACAAGUGAUUGAAAAGAGAUAGUCGAAUGGCAUUGAAAGGUCAGCCGCAGAAGGUGCAAGCCCUGUAGGCGAAAUCUCGAUUCACGCGAGUGGGAUCCUGAGUACGUCGGAGCACGUGAAACUCUGACGGAAUCGACCGGGACCAUCCGGUAAGGCUAAAUACUCCUAUAUGACCGAUAGUGAACCAGUACCAUGAGGGAAAGAUGAAAAGAACCGCGGGAGCGGAGUGAAAUAGAUCCUGAAACCGUAUGCUUACAAAAAGUCAGAGCACAUUAAGGUGUGAUGGCGUGCCUUUUGUAGAAUGAACCGGCGAGUUAUCUUUACAUGCGAGGUUAAGCAGACAAUGCGGAGCCGUAGCGAAAGCGAAUCUUAAUAGGGUGGCAAGUAUGUAGAGAUAGACCCGAAGCCGUAGUGAUCUAGUCAUGAGCAGGUUGAAGGCUGGGUGAAUCCAGCUGGAGGACCGAACCGACCCCCGUUGAAAAGUUGGCGGAUGACUUGUGAUUAGCGGAGAAAUUCCAAUCGAACACGGCGAUAGCUGGUUCUCCCCGAAAUAGCUUUAGGGCUAGCGUUGAACGAAUCUACCCGGAGGUAGAGCACUGAAAUCAUGCGGGCGGCAUCUCGCCGUACCAAAUGAUAUCAAACUCCGAAUGCCGGGCAAGAAUAUUCAGCAGUCAGACUGUGGGUGAUAAGGUCCAUGGUCAAAAGGGAAACAGCCCAGAUCAUCAGAUAAGGUCCCAAAAUUUACGCUAAGUGGAAAAGGAUGUGGAGACGCGCAAACAGCUAGGAGGUUGGCUCAGAAGCAGCCAUCCUUCAAAGAGUGCGUAACAGCUCACUAGUCGAGUAUCUCUGCGCCGAAAAUUAACCGGGGCUAAGCGUAAUACCGAAUCUAUGGAUUUAUACUUAGGUAUAAGUGGUAGGGGAGCGUUCCAUACAGCAUUGAAGGUAUACCGUAAGGAGUGCUGGAGCGUAUGGAAGUGAGAAUGCCGGUGUGAGUAGCGAGAUGUGGGUGAGAAUCCCACACACCGAACAACCAAGGUUUCCAGGGGAAGGUUCGUCCGCCCUGGGUAAGUCGGGACCUAAGGCCAGGCCGAAAGGCGUAGUCGAUGGACAGCAGGUUGAUAUUCCUGCACCCGCGAGUAAAGUGAUGGAGUGACAGAUAGGGUUAACCCAAGUCCUUAAUGGAUUGGGCAAGGCAAGCAGGAGAGUGGCGUAGGCAAAUCCGCGCCGGAUACUCAAAGGCUUGACUCAAGCGAACGCGCGAGCAAGUAGUGAAGAGGGCGAUACCAGGUCUCAAGAAAAGCUUCUAGCGAUAAUUUACUAGCGGCCCGUACCAAAACCGACACAGGUGGUUGAGGCGAGUAGCCUAAGGUGAGCGAGAGAACUGUUGCCAAGGAACUCGGCAAAUUGACCCCGUACGUUAGCAAUAAGGGGUGCUCGAAAGAGCCGCAGUGAAUAGGCCCUAGCAACUGUUUAACUAAAACAUAGCUCUCUGCGAAGUCGCAAGACGAAGUAUAGGGGGUGACACCUGCCCGGUGCUGGAAGGUCAAGGGGAUUUGUCAGACGCAAGUCGAAGCAUUGAACCGAAGCCCCAGUGAACGGCGGCCGUAACUAUAACGGUCCUAAGGUAGCGAAAUUCCUUGUCGGGUAAG